rnacentral:rRNA from 1 species
AUUGAACGCUAGCGGGAUGCCUUACACAUGCAAGUCGAACGGAGUGGCGGACGGGUGAGUGAUGUAUCGGAACGUGACCAGUAGCGGGGGCUAACUACGCGAAAGCGUAGCUAAUACCGAAUACUCUUGGAUCUGACGCUUGCGGAUUAGCUAGUUGGGUGGGUAAGGGUUCACCAAGGCGACGAGCCGUAGCUGUGUUGAGAGGACGACCAGCAACACUGGGACUGAGACACGGCCCAGACUCCUACGGGAGGCAGCAGUGGGGAAUUUUGGACAAUGGGGGAAACCCUGAUCCAGCCAUCCCGCGUGUGCGAUGAAGGCCUUCGGGUGUUAAAGCACUUUUGGCAGGAAAGCGGUACCUGCAGAAUAAGCACCGGCUAACUACGUGCCAGCCGCCGCGGUAAUUC